CACUGAGUCGAUUCUCCCUUAAAAAUAUUUUGUUAGCUCAAUCAUGCGCUGUGUGAUUGAGCAUCACCGCAAGAACCCGAAAAAUAGCUCGACGACCAUGAUGCACCUUCCAUAUUUACCCAAUAAAUGGACAGACGUUGUUAGUUGGAACUGGUAGGGGUUAUGCUGAAUUUGUUGUUGGAACAUUGUCUUUUGGUGCAACUCCUAUGAAGAUGAAAGCUCGUUUUGUUGUAGAGUGUGAAUUAUAUCAAGACGGAAAAGUAAUAAGGAAAAUGAUACAAGAGUUUUAUGAAGAGAGAAAUAUUUCUGUACUUUCAGAUACACAGAAAUACAAAAAAAGG
rnacentral:misc_RNA from 1 species